rnacentral:rRNA from 1 species
AGAGUUUGAUCAUGGCUCAGGAUGAACGCUAGCGGCAGGCCUAACACAUGCAAGUCGAACGGCAGCACGAACUUCGGUUUGGUGGCGAGUGGCGCACGGGUGCGUAACGCGUAUGCAACCUACCCUUUACAGGGGGAUAGCCCAGAGAAAUUUGGAUUAAUACCCCAUGGCACCACGCCCCCGCAUGGGCGGCGUGGUUAAAGAUUCAUCGGUAAGGGAUGGGCAUGCGUUCUAUUAGCUAGUAGGUGCGGUAACGGCGCACCUAGGCUACGAUAGAUAGGGGCCCUGAGAGGGGGAUCCCCCACACUGGUACUGAGACACGGACCAGACUCCUACGGGAGGCAGCAGUGAGGAAUAUUGGACAAUGGGCGAGAGCCUGAUCCAGCCAUGCCGCGUGCAGGAAGACGGCCCUAUGGGUUGUAAACUGCUUUUAUACAGGAAGAAACACCUCUACGUGUAGAGGCUUGACGGUACUGUAAGAAUAAGGAUCGGCUAACUCCGUGCCAGCAGCCGCGGUAAUACGGAGGAUCCAAGCGUUAUCCGGAAUCAUUGGGUUUAAAGGGUCCGUAGGUGGAUGAUUAAGUCAGAGGUGAAAUCCUGCAGCUCAACUGUAGAAUUGCCUUUGAUACUGGUUAUCUUGAGUUAUUAUGAAGUAGUUAGAAUAUGUAGUGUAGCGGUGAAAUGCAUAGAUAUUACAUAGAAUACCAAUUGCGAAGGCAGAUUACUAAUAAUCAACUGACACUGAUGGACGAAAGCGUGGGGAGCGAACAGGAUUAGAUACCCUGGUAGUCCACGCCGUAAACGAUGGUCACUAGCUGUUCGGAUUUCGGUCUGAGUGGCUAAGCGAAAGUGAUAAGUGACCCACCUGGGGAGUACGUUCGCAAGAAUGAAACUCAAAGGAAUUGACGG